UACACUCAAGCCUCUGCACCUGUGUCGCAAGAUAUGGUGCUUUGGCCGUAGCAGAGCAAUCGCUCUCGCUGCCAGGGUGCAGGAAGAAAUGACUGCAUCUCCCGAAUCUGGAAAGGUGUACAUGGCCUC
rnacentral:ncRNA from 1 species